UACAGAGGUCUCAAGCGUUGUUCGGAUUUAUUGGGUUUAAAGGGUGCGUAGGCGGGCUAUUAAGUCAGUGGUGAAAGCUCCGAGCUUAACUCGGAAACUGCCAUUGAUACUGACGGUCUUGAGUACAUUUGAGGUGGGCGGAAUGUGUCAUGUAGCGGUGAAAUGCUUAGAUAUGACACAGAACACCGAUUGCGAAGGCAGCUCACUAAACUGUAACUGACGCUGAGGCACGAAAGCGUGGGGAGCAAACAGG
rnacentral:rRNA from 1 species